AAGAUAAGUGCUAUUCUAAUAGCCAAUAGUGGUCAUAUUUUGCUUUCCUAAUUGUGCCUCAAAUGAGGCACAUUUUUUAUAUU
rfam:Avibacterium paragallinarum strain CL AvpgCL_contig_27, whole genome shotgun sequence.